rnacentral:rRNA from 1 species
CAUGCAAGUCGAACGCGAAAGGGGGAGCAAUCCCCCGAGUAGAGUGGCGAACGGGUGAGUAAUACAUCGGAACGUAUCCAGUAGCGGGGGAUAACCUCUCGAAAGAGAGGCUAAUACCGCAUACGACCUACGGGUGAAAGAGGGGGAUCGCAAGACCUCUCACUAUUGGAGCGGCCGAUGUCGGAUUAGCUAGUUGGCGGGGUAAAAGCCCACCAAGGCUACGAUCCGUAGCUGGUCUGAGAGGACGACCAGCCACACUGGAACUGAGACACGGUCCAGACUCCUACGGGAGGCAGCAGUGGGGAAUUUUGGACAAUGGGCGAAAGCCUGAUCCAGCCAUGCCGCGUGAGUGAAGAAGGCCUUCGGGUUGUAAAGCUCUUUCGGCGGGGACGAAAAGGUCCGUGUUAACACCACGGACUCAUGACGGUACCCGCAGAAGAAGCACCGGCUAACUACGUGCCAGCAGCCGCGGUAAUACGUAGGGUGCAGGCGUUAAUCGGAAUUACUGGGCGUAAAGCGUGCGCAGGCGGUUUGCUAAGACAGGUGUGAAAUCCCCGGGCUUAACCUGGGAACUGCGCUUGUAACUGGCAAGCUAGAGUGUGGCAGAGGGGGGUGGAAUUCCGAGUGUAGAGGUGAAAUUCGUAGAUAUUCGGAGGAACACCAGA